rnacentral:lncRNA from 1 species
CACACACACUCUCUCUCGCACUCCGCCCGCCCUCCUGCCGCUUCGCUGGCGAGCUGCCCCUCACUCCCUCCCUACCUUCCUGUCCCGCGACGUCCAUGGCCACCGGAGUGGAGGCGAUGGCGGAUGGCUUCUGGUGAGCCUGCGCGCCUCCCCUCCCUCCUUGAUCUCAUCCUCGCGCAUUAUGACCUCCAUACAACUGGAGACGAGGACGACGGCGUGGCUCCGAUAAGGUAGGUUGGGAGGGAUCUAGAUCUGAGACCUCUUUCCCCCUCCUUCCUCUCCUGGAUCUAGAUCUGCUCCCUCCUCAUGCACCUCUUCCUCAUCUUCUUUCCCUUCUGGAUCUAAAGGUUUGGUGGUAGCUAGGGUUCUCACGAGUCAGAUCUCAUCAUUGUUUGCAAUUAAUCAUUUUCAAUGUUGCAACAGAUGAUGUGGAAUGUUGCACGGUGUCUUUUUUUAGUUGUUGCGACAGGCGUUUCUUUGAUGUUGCAGAGCAAUUCUUGAGAUGUUUCAAUUGCUUUUUUCGUUGUUGCAGCAGUUUCCCCCAAUGUUGCAGUAGAUUUUUUUUUUGCAAUAGUUGCAUUAGUAGUGCUUGAGAUAUUGUAAUAGUUUCUUCUCGUUGUCACAGCAGAUUCGAUGUUACAAUGGAUGUUUUUGAAUAUUGCAGUAGACUUUUUUUAUGUUACAAUUUAUAUUUUUCUUUGUUGCAUUAGAUGUUCUUUUUGAUGUUUUAAUAGCUUUUUCCAUUUAUUUUAGCAGUUUUUCCUUUUGUUGCAUUUAGAUGUCUUUCCAUGCUGCAAUAGCCUUUUUCUAUUGUUGCAGCGCUGGGGGAUAGACUAUGGUGGCGAGCUAGUGGCAUGGUCGGAGGUGCUGGGGCUAGCGAGGUUGGGGGCGGAUAGAUCCGUGCACGUUGGGGGCACCUUUCUUUUCAGUGGCGGCACGGGGCGGGGGUUGCUUUCUCUUUGACAGUUCCGUGCACGUGGGGGCGCCUUUCUUCUCCGUGCGGGUAUAGGGCAAGGUUGCUUUCUCUUUUUCUUUUCUUUUUUUUCUUUUCGUACUAUUCUGUGCGGAGGGGGUAUAUGUAUAUAAUAACAUGAUUCGCUGCCGAGGAAAACAACUGGCUUUGAUAGAGAAUGCGAAAACAACUAGAAGCUUUCCUACCUGAAUGAGGGAACGCAGAGGCAGAGCCCAUGAUUUUAAUUAAGAGGGGACAAACAAAUGUGAUCAUAUUUUUAGUGUGAUAAAAUAUACAUAAUUAUAUGUUUGAACAACUUUAAAAAAAACUACAUUAUUUAUAACCAAAAUUAUAAUAUUUUAAGGUGAAAUUGAUUUUUUUUUUGCUAUAAAUUGAUAUAUUUAUAUAGGUAUUAAAUAAAUCUACUUGCUUAGGGGGCAUGGUCCCUGCUAACUCCCUGGCUCCGCCUCUGAUGGGAUGAUAAAGUCUGCGCCCCCUAUUUUGCAUUUUCUAACCCCCGCACUCAAUAAGUUUCAAAGUCUAUAUUUUCCAAGAGAGGUGUAGCCAUGCAGGAAUCACCGCGAUAUCAUCCCAUCAAAGGGAGUAUUUAUUUUUAUUACAUGAGAUGUCGGUAUCUUUUGUUUCAAUUUUUGUUAUUUUAAUUACUUUCCAUUUCCUUCUAAAUUUAUAGUUUAAUUAUGUCUAUUCCAUGAUGUAUACAUUCGGAAUUAUACUCUCAUUUCCAUUUGACUUUAUCUUUUUCAUUUUACUAUGGUUAAUUAGUUUUAAAAAAACAUGUUUUACUUUUUAUUUUUGUGUACCUUGCUCGUAGUAGUGUCACGUAUUCAUACAUGCAGCACGGUCGAUUGGUUGUCCACUUGUCUUUGUGGCGUGUUUUCUCGUGACUCGAGUCUCCAACCAAUGAAUGCGCAGCACAAUGAAAUUUUAUUUGUGAAGAACUCCAUCAAACAUCACAGCAUGAUACAUAGGACAAAAUUUGAUGCACUACUUUGAAUUUAUAGAUAUCUGCCUAUCUGGAAUACAAAACACACAUGAUUUGUGCAUUAACCCAUUGACAAUAACUAGACCAUAUUAGCCUAUAAAUUCUUAACCUAUAGGACUCUAACUUUUUUUUCCUGCAUACUGUGAGACCCUACAAAUUCUUAACCUAUAGGACUAGCACGACUCUCUACUCUAACCAUGCCUAAGCUAGGAGCUUUGGUUCCUUGUGGCGUAUGAUGGUUCUCAGAUGUUGAAUCUCAUCUUUAUCCUUCACAACAGUUCCGAUACUUUGGCUGUAAUACUUGCACCAUCCUUAUCUUCACGAGCUCCCACAGGCAUGAAACAAGAUUUCCAUCCAGCAGCAAGCAGUUGAUGGCAUAUGAUUUAAGACCUGCCAAAAAGAAAUAAGGACCAAAAAACACAACAUAAACAUAAUAGAGCAUUUUUUUUAUGCUUAAGGAAUGAAUGAAGGAUUCUGAUACCAGACAUGCCUCGACUCCGAUUUCUGGCCUCUCAAGUGCUAUGCAACUUCACACCUGCAUCACCUUUUGAGACCACUUUGAAUCACAUGAUGUAUCCACUUUGUGGAUCAGGACAGUAAAUCAAUGACAAAUAGCAAGACAGGCAAAGAGUUCAGAUCAUAUCAAACUAGAAUCUUAAUUUGACAGGGAGAAAGUAUAGGAAGCAAAACCUCAACUGCAACGACGUUUCAAUUCACUUCAUCCCCACCUAUGUCUAAGUGUACCUUCUCGGCAAUGGCAAGAACUGAGCUCUCUACAAACUCUGCACAAUUGCUGCUUGCCAAGCUUCUGAUUUCCUCAAACUUUGUUUCAUCCUUCUGAGCCACGCAUUCUGAAGAUGUGUGCAGUGGCAUUCUCUGAAUUGUAUUAAGUUCAAGAUCUGAUGUCAAGUUACCGAGCUUGCUGGAUUCAUCAGCCAAAACAACUGCUCCCACUGCUGCAAAGCUUGUGCCUGAUGCUGAGGUAUCCUCAGAUCCAUAUGGUGAAGUAGUUAAUUGUGCUUGUUCUAAGUUUAUAUCAUCAUGUGAUGGAGAAGUCUGAGCUCUGCUGCAAACGACACUUGAAACGAAUUUGACUGGGCUGUCACAAACGACGUUACUGACACUAUUUCCAUGAGGUGGGGUUCCCACACCAGGUGGGCUUACUGAAGCCCAUUUUACAGAUUUGUGAAGUUCCACAUGGCCAUCUCCAUCAGAAUCAUACUUUCUCUUAAGCUGACUGUCCAGAUAUGGGCUCAAUGUGACAUCUCCAUCAGACUGCUCUUGUUGGUUUGCAUGCAUUGUAGGGCAGGGUUUCUUGUAUCCUUGCUCAAAUACAUAAGAUGGGACCUGCUCCCUUUGGACAUGGGUGACAGCCAGAUCCAUCCCAGGCAUCCACAAUGAAUACAUGCCAAUUUCACGCAUAAAUUCAUCUACUGUCCCACGGAUAUCAAACUGUUGUCCACGUUUUUUCGACCCCUCUUUCCUUGAUAAGCCCAUGUAGAAGGCACAAUGUGCACACUCUAUUGUGGGAUCUGAAUACUCACAUGGGUACGGAUGGCACUGCAAAAUUCCUUUAGUAUCCCGAUCAAUCUGCAUUUUAGAAGAACAAAUACCAUAAGGACAUUAUAUUUUUCAGUAAAUACAAUACAACCAUGCUUUUAUGUGCACUCCAUAUGUCUAACUAAGAAAACUAACAACAGUUGAAGUCAUGGUGCACAAAAUUAAGAAACUGAAAAGGUACCUUUAAAGUAAGUUGUCUCAAACGAGACUCGAUCCAUCCCUUCCAAAGACGAAGAUCAUCAUCAUUCUCUGCAACUAUGUCAACCACUAGAAACUUUCUGUAUGCCUCAAAAAAAUGGAAAGGCUCAAAUAAAGCAUUCCAAUUGGCCUUAUUAAGUUCAAUUUCCUGCAUAAAAGAUAGGCAGUGAGACCAUACCAAGAACAUUAGCUAUCAGCCGUAAAUUUACAGGUAGAAAUCAAUGCAUACCUGACAAAUUUUGUUGCCAAAUUGAAAUUGCUCCAUUAUAACCCUCAGUGUGCUGCUUGAAACAUUGUAACUAGAGUUCAUGCAUGGGUAGGCUGGAGUGAUGAUGGGCAUGAGAUGGUUUCUAUCACGCGGAUUUUUGCGCGGAUCCCAUAUAGAAAAACCAAGAUCAUUAUUCUCAAUUGCACAUAGCAUCACUGGAUUUGGCCAUUGCCACUGGGUAAAAACUCUGAAGAACCUAGAAACCAGCAUACUUGGCACAGCAUUAGGGUAGAGUUGGCAGACACGGGCAACCAGCAGAGCCCAGUUGACACCCCCAAGGAAACCAGUAAUCUGACAAGGAAAAUACUAACAUCACUACAGUUCAUUUGCGAGGACAAACUUCUUUUUCUUAGUGUUCAUUCAGUCCAACUACAAGAUGAAUUGUGCAAAUAAUUUAUAAUAAACUCAGGCAUACAUUAGAAUAAACACCCCUUCUCUUUGCCCAGUACUUCAAGCAUCUGAGUGUUGUCCGGAAAUUCUGCAAAGCACAAAGUUUGGUAUACUAACACAGUGGGACCAUACCAUACAGGAUAAAGUUGAGGCAGUUGUUUCAUAUAACCUCAACAUUUGGAACAAGCCGAAGAAUCUGAUCCGCCACUCUGCAUCCAUUA